rnacentral:RNase_P_RNA from 1 species
UCUACUGGGCAACCGCUGGUGGCCUUCGCAGGACGACCACUAGAGGAAAGUCGGGACUGGCCUUGCCUGUCUCAGGCAAGAAAGUUGGUGCACAGCACAAGCUGUGGCAGGGUGACCUGACGGCAGCAAACCUAUCCCCCUGGGGUAGUAGUAGCUAUAAAAGCUCCACAGAAACGAGCCUCCGUGGCAACGCGGCGGAUGAAACGAGGAAAGCCCCACCAGCCAGCAACGCAAAUUAUGGUAGCGGCACCCUUUGUGGGCGGAAGUAAUCCUAGCUUCUGAGAUAGAUGGUUGCCUUAAAUGACAGAAUCCCGCUUACAGGU